rnacentral:rRNA from 1 species
UAUAAUAUUAUUUUAUUCUAGUUAAAUAUUUUAUUAUUAUUUUAUUUUACAUGUAAAUUUUUGUAGGAAUUAUUUUUAAUUUUAAAAAUUAAAAAUAUUAAAUUUAUUCGCAGUAAUUAAUAUUAAUUAUAAAAGAAAUUUUGAAUUAGUAAUAAUAUAUAGUAUUGGUAAAAUUUGUGCCAGCUACUGCGGUUAUACAAAUGAUGCAAAUAAAAAUUUUUAGUAUUAGUUAAAUUUUUAUUAUUUAAUUUAUUUAUAAAUUUAUUAGGUGAAAUUUUUAAAUUUAUUUAUAAUUAAUUAUUGAUUAAUUUAAGCUAUAAAAAUUUUAUUAUAAACUAGGAUUAGAUACCCUAUUAUUAAAAUUAAAUAAUCAAAAUACUUAAGUAGUAUUAGUUAUAUUCUUAAAAUUUAAAGAAUUUGGCGGUGUUUUAGUCUAUUUAGAGGAAUCUGUUCUGUUAUUGAUAAUCCACGUUGGACCUUACUUAAAUUUGUAAUCAAUUUGUAUAUCGUCGUCAUCAGAAN